rnacentral:rRNA from 1 species
GACGAACGCUGGCGGCGUGCCUAAUACAUGCAAGUUGAGCGCUGAAGGUUGGUACUUGUACCAACUGGAUGAGCAGCGAACGGGUGAGUAACGCGUGGGGAAUCUGCCUUUGAGCGGGGGACAACAUUUGGAAACGAAUGCUAAUACCGCAUAAAAACUUUAAACACAAGUUUUAAGUUUGAAAGAUGCAAUUGCAUCACUCAAAGAUGAUCCCGCGUUGUAUUAGCUAGUUGGUGAGGUAAAGGCUCACCAAGGCGAUGAUACAUAGCCGACCUGAGAGGGUGAUCGGCCACAUUGGGACUGAGACACGGCCCAAACGCCUACGGGAGGCAGCAGGAGGGAAUCUUCGGCAAUGGACGAAAGUCUGACCGAGCAACGCCGCGUGAGUGAAGAAGGGUGUCGGAUCGUAAAACUCUGUUGGUAGAGAAGAACGUUGGUGAGAGUGGAAAGCUCAUCAAGUGACGGUAACUACCCAGAAAGGGACGGCUAACUACGUG